UCAUCCCAGCCCCUUUUCUCCC
rnacentral:miRNA from 1 species